rnacentral:rRNA from 3 species
CUUAAUUGGGCGUUAAGUUGCAGGGUAUAGACCCGAAACCCGGUGAUCUAGCCAUGGGCAGGUUGAAGGUUGGGUAACACUAACUGGAGGACCGAACCGACUAAUGUUGAAAAAUUAGCGGAUGACCUGUGGCUGGGGGUGAAAGGCCAAUCAAACCGGGAGAUAGCUGGUUCUCCCCGAAAGCUAUUUAGGUAGCGCCUCGUGAAUUCAUCUCCGGGGGUAGAGCACUGUUUCGGCUAGGGGGCCAUCCCGGCUUACCAACCCGAUGCAAACUGCGAAUACCGGAGAAUGUUAUCACGGGAGACACACGGCGGGUGCUAACGUCCGUCGUGAAGAGGGAAACAACCCAGACCGCCAGCUAAGGUCCCAAAGUCAUGGUUAAGUGGGAAACGAUGUGGGAAGGCCCAGACAGCCAGGAUGUUGGCUUAGAAGCAGCCAUCAUUUAAAGAAAGCGUAAUAGCUCACUGGUCGAGUCGGCCUGCGCGGAAGAUGUAACGGGGCUAAACCAUGCACCGAAGCUGCGGCAGCGACACUGUGUGUUGUUGGGUAGGGGAGCGUUCUGUAAGCCUGCGAAGGUGGCCUGUGAGGGUUGCUGGAGGUAUCAGAAGUGCGAAUGCUGACAUAAGUAACGAUAAAGCGGGUGAAAAGCCCGCUCGCCGGAAGACCAAGGGUUCCUGUCCAACGUUAAUCGGGGCAGGGUGAGUCGACCCCUAAGGCGAGGCCGAAAGGCGUAGUCGAUGGGAAACGGGUUAAUAUUCCCGUACUUGGUGUUACUGCGAAGGGGGGACGGAGAAGGCUAUGUUGGCCGGGCGACGGUUGUCCCGGUUUAAGCGUGUAGGUGUGUGUUCCAGGUAAAUCCGGUUCACUUUAACACUGAGGCGUGACGACGAGGCACUACGGUGCUGAAGCAACAAAUGCCCUGCUUCCAGGAAAAGCCUCUAAGCAUCAGGUAACAUCAAAUCGUACCCCAAACCGACACAGGUGGUCAGGUAGAGAAUACCAAGGCGCUUGAGAGAACUCGGGUGAAGGAACUAGGCAAAAUGGUGCCGUAACUUCGGGAGAAGGCACGCUGACACGUAGGUGAAGUGAUUUACUCAUGGAGCUGAAGUCAGUCGAAGAUACCAGCUGGCUGCAACUGUUUAUUAAAAACACAGCACUGUGCAAACACGAAAGUGGACGUAUACGGUGUGACGCCUGCCCGGUGCCGGAAGGUUAAUUGAUGGGGUCAGCGCAAGCGAAGCUCCUGAUCGAAGCCCCGGUAAACGGCGGCCGUAACUAUAACGGUCCUAAGGUAGCGAAAUUCCUUGUCGGGUAAGUUCCGACCUGCACGAAUGGCGUAAUGAUGGCCAGGCUGUCUCCACCCGAGACUCAGUGAAAUUGAACUCGCUGUGAAGAUGCAGUGUACCCGCGGCAAGACGGAAAGACCCCGUGAACCUUUACUAUAGCUUGACACUGAACAUUGAGCCUUGAUGUGUAGGAUAGGUGGGAGGCUUUGAAGUGUGGACGCCAGUCUGCAUGGAGCCGACCUUGAAAUACCACCCUUUAAUGUUUGAUGUUCUAACGUGGACCCGUUACCCGGGUUGCGGACAGUGUCUGGUGGGUAGUUUGACUGGGGCGGUCUCCUCCUAAAGAGUAACGGAGGAGCACGAAGGUUGGCUAAUCCUGGUCGGACAUCAGGAGGUUAGUGCAAUGGCAUAAGCCAGCUUGACUGCGAGCGUGACGGCGCGAGCAGGUGCGAAAGCAGGUCAUAGUGAUCCGGUGGUUCUGAAUGGAAGGGCCAUCGCUCAACGGAUAAAAGGUACUCCGGGGAUAACAGGCUGAUACCGCCCAAGAGUUCAUAUCGACGGCGGUGUUUGGCACCUCGAUGUCGGCUCAUCACAUCCUGGGGCUGAAGUAGGUCCCAAGGGUAUGGCUGUUCGCCAUUUAAAGUGGUACGCGAGCUGGGUUUAGAACGUCGUGAGACAGUUCGGUCCCUAUCUGCCGUGGGCGCUGGAGAACUGAGGGGGGCUGCUCCUAGUACGAGAGGACCGGAGUGGACGCAUCACUGGUGUUCGGGUUGUCAUGCCAAUGGCACUGCCCGGUAGCUAAAUGCGGAAGAGAUAAGUGCUGAAAGCAUCUAAGCACGAAACUUGCCCCGAG